UUUGAAAGCUGGGAGGGGCAGAUGGGGCAGAUCAGUCCAUGAUCACCCUGCUCGAUACGUUCCCCUGACACCCUGGUACGGGCCACCGUUGGAGACAGGCUUCUGAGCUAGAUGGACCCUGGUCUGACUCAGUGUGGCAGCUCUUAUGCUCUUAAAAUGCAGCAAGGGAGGGGCGUGAGGGGGAAGGGAAGGAUGAGGGGCAGCUGUAACAUCCUCCAGUUGCUCAGUAAGGCUCUGGUCUAUAUUGCUGGGUUGGUAACGUGACCAUUCCUCCCCUCCCCAUCUCAUGAGCCAGGUGACAUUCCGGAGGGGACCUUGGCAAACAGGGCUGGGGAGAGAACUGCACAAGCACCAGGGACCUACACACACACAUUUCUCCCCACCCCUAAUGCUCACAGCCUGUGGCUACCGCCAUUAGCCAUGUCUGCAGGAUGGCCUGACUGGGCCCCGUGCUGGCCUUGGCGGAGGAAGGCACAUGCUGGAAGCGCCAGGCCAGCCCCGUGCUGUCACUGAAGCCCAGAGAGUGCUGAGGACUUUACUAAUCCCACGUCAGAGACAUUUGCUUGGCUGUUUUCACCCCAGGGGAUACCAGAGCUAUGAAACUGCCACUGUCCUUAAUAACCAAUGGGCCGAACAGACACCAAUGAAUCCUCAGAAGAGCAAUGUGCAGGCCCCAUCCUGCACCCUCCUACCUACCACUGAAGGCAACAGAAGCCCUGGGUUGCUUCUAUUUAGGUAUCUAACUUCAGGCACUCAACUUGGACAACUGUGGCCUGAGCCCCUAUUCAGCCACCUAAACACAUGGCUUGAUUUUCACCUACAGCUCCCACUGACUAUGAACCCGGGGCCCCCACGAGAAACACCUACGGAAGCUCUGACUUGACCGCAUGUGUGAAUUCCUGGGCCACAGGGGCUCCCCAGGCUGUGCUCAGACCUAACUCAAAUUCCCUUCAACGUGUCAAACACCUGACUAGGCUGAGAACUGAUCCCUCGGCAAGUUUAAAUAAA